CCCUUCCCAUUCCGAACAGGAUGGUUAAGCACUAAAGCGCUGAUGGUACUACAAGGGAGGCCUUGUGGGAGAGUAAGUCGUCGCCGGGU
rnacentral:rRNA from 2 species